rnacentral:rRNA from 1 species
AACGAACGCUGGCGGCAGGCUUAACACAUGCAAGUCGAGCGCCCCGCAAGGGGAGCGGCAGACGGGUGAGUAACGCGUGGGAAUCUACCUUUUGCUACGGAAUAACUCAGGGAAACUUGUGCUAAUACCGUAUGUGCCCUUCGGGGGAAAGAUUUAUCGGCAAAGGAUGAGCCCGCGUUGGAUUAGCUAGUUGGUGGGGUAAAGGCCCACCAAGGCGACGAUCCAUAGCUGGUCUGAGAGGAUGAUCAGCCACACUGGGACUGAGACACGGCCCAGACUCCUACGGGAGGCAGCAGUGGGGAAUAUUGGACAAUGGGCGCAAGCCUGAUCCAGCCAUGCCGCGUGAGUGAUGAAGGCCCUAGGGUUGUAAAGCUCUUUCACCGGCGAAGAUAAUGACGGUAGUCGGAGAAGAAGCCCCGGCUAACUUCGUGCCAGCCGCCGCGGUAACAC